rnacentral:rRNA from 1 species
UUUCGCAAUGCCCGAAAGGGUGACGAAGCGACGCCGCGUGUAGGAAGAAGGCUUUCGGGUUGUAAACCACUGUCGGGAGUUAGGAAAUGCAGGUGCGUUAAUAGCGCACUUGCUUGACUAAGGCUCCAGAGGAAGCCACGGCUAACUCUGUGCCAGCAGCCGCGGUAAUACAGAGGCGGCAAGCGUUGUUCGGAAUUAUUGGGCGUAAAGAGCACGUAGGCGGCCUUGCAAGUCAGUUGUGAAAGCCUUCCGCUUAACGGAAGAACGGCAUCUGAUACUACAGGGCUUGAGUACGGGAGGGGAGAGUGGAACUUCUGGUGGAGCGGUGAAAUGCGUAGAUAUCAGAAGGAACGCCGGCGGCGAAAGCGACUCUCUGGUCCGAAACUGACGCUGAGUGUGCGAAAGCUAGGGGAGCAAACGGGAUUAGAUACCCCGGUAGUCCUAGCCGUAAACGAUGGGCACUAAGUAGAGGGGUUUU